GACGUAGGGGGCGAGCGUUGUCCGGAAUUACUGGGCGUAAAGAGCACGUAGGCGGAUGUUUAAGUCAGGUGUGAAAGACCGCAGCUCAACUGCGGGGUUGCACUUGAAACUGAAUGUCUUGAGGGCAGGAGAGGUCAGUGGAAUUCCUGGUGUAGCGGUGAAAUGCGUAGAAAUCAGGAGGAACACCAGUGGCGAAGGCGACUGACUGGACUGACCCUGACGCUGAGGUGCGAAAGCGUGGGUAGCAAAC
rnacentral:rRNA from 1 species